UUUGUGAUUAUAAAACACCCAUGAACCGUUCUACUGAAUGUUCCGUUGAAUAGUCUGAGUCAUGAAAGCCAAGGCGGCGACAAACCCCCAACAUCAGACUGGAGGUGGAUAACGUCGGCUCAGCUUUCCUUCACAAGACUAUUGCUAUAUGGGACCAUGAACUCAUCAGCAGGUGCAGGAAACUACCGCAGGGGGACCACCAAGGGAGAGAAGAGGGCAUCUCAACAGGUCAUCCAUCCCUAUCCCAGCACCUCAAAGCUCUGUUGACGUGCAAUCAAUCAUCCCUCACCACACUGCCCACCCCCUUCCACCUCCACGGACCUGUCAACAGCACAUCAGCAGGCUGCUGCGUCGCUGGGAGACUGUCCCUCUCCCUCUUGAUGAUUAACUGUAUUAUAAGACAUGCUGACAGUAGGUAUUAGCCAGUGUUUAAACACAGAGAAGCCUUAUUACUCCCCGAUGAGACAAGGACCCUGCAGAAUGGUUGAUGCAGAGCUUCAGUCUUUUGUGGUAGAUUUUCGGCUCUGAAGAUCGAGAGACAAAAACAUCAUUGGCUGUCAUUAAUCCAGGCAUUGUGAUUUAAGUUUAUUUUAAAUCCCCUUCACUUUUCAGAGAUAUUUUCA